CUCUAAUUUCAGAUUACUCCACUUUUGGUCCCUCAUUUUACGUGUCAUAUAUGCAGAUUCUGCUGGCGUGGUGAAAUGAGGGACCAAAAGUGAAAAAAUCUGAAAUUACAG
rfam:Medicago truncatula strain A17 chromosome 2, whole genome shotgun sequence.